AAAUUGCAGGACUACCUUGACAAGGUACGAACUAUUGUAAAACCAGGGUGUUCACAGGAGGUUCUGAAAGCUGCUUUGAGUGUCAUGGCUUCUGUGACAGAUGUACUUUCUGCAAUGUCUUCAACUUCGAUCAAUAACGAUGCACGCCUUUAAGCGCAGAAAUUACAUGUUCUUGAACUAACUUGGUGCCAUUGCAUUAGUGUCAGAAUUCUAUCAUUUGGCACAUCGUUUCCUUUUUGUUGUUUUGUAUCAUGAACUGUAGCUGCCGACUAGUUAGAGGAUUGCAAUAAGCUGAAUUUUGCCUUUUUUUUUUUUUGGAAAAAAAAAAAUUUAAAUUUACAUUGCUCUCGUGUGAUAAUAGCGUGAGGAUUUGCUGAGUUGAAAUUUUGUUUAUGCUGGUUUGAACAAGGGACGUGCAUAUAAUCGAAGCAGUAUGUUUCCAAUUAGAUGCAGCAAGUUUUAACGAUAUAGCUUGUUUCGUAGUUCAUAUCUGACUUGGGCAUACGUCUGCCCUAAACGAUAUAAGAUUACUUUUAUGGAUUGAAUUUACCCUUUUUCGAUUGGAGUGAUUCU
rnacentral:misc_RNA from 1 species